CCCCAUCCUAUUUCUAUUUGCCAGUAUAAAAAGUCUCUCUCCCUGUUUUUUAUAGGUCCUCUUCAAGUACUGAGAUGCCACAAUAAGAUCUCCCUGGAACUUUUCUCUUCUCCAGGCUGAACAUCCCCAGCUCUCAGCCUGUCUUUGCACAACAGAGCUGGGCUGUGUGGUCAGGAUCUGCAGCUCCCAUCUGCAAGAUCCCAAUCUGCGUCAUUCUUCAUUUGCAUGGGUGUGUGGGUUCCUGCAGCGCUCGCUGGAGCCAAGAGGAUUUUCACUGAGGAAAUGGAAAGUGCUGCUUGCUGGACACACAGAGGGACUGAGAGGCUGUUCCCAUCUGCAGAAUGAGUUGGCAUUACAUUUCUGCUGAAGGGGGAUGUGUGCUGUUCCCUGAUGUGCAACACUGCUGAUGAACUGGAGACCUGCCCUUACCCACAGUAAAAUGGGGAAAGGGCCAUCCAUGGGAUCCAUCAGCUUAUGCUGAUGUUGAGUUUCUGUUUCUUUUCUUCUUUCCUAAAGGAACACAAAAUUAAAAGGAUUCAAUUUAUCUGCCCUGUCUCUUUAAAUGUGAUGUGAUGUCAGAGCUGGAACUUCAUUUUUAGGCAGCAAAAGAUUUUCUGAAAAGGGAUUUUUUUUUUUCCCCCUAGUGUUUCUUAAAGGCUGUCAGGACUCCUCCCUCUGUUCCCCGCAUCUUUCUUCUCCAUGCCACCUGCUGUCUGUUGGAUUAAAUCCCACAGGAAAGGAAAAAGAAAAAGGUCCAAGAUUAAUAGAUGUUGAUAAUAUUGAAAG
rnacentral:lncRNA from 1 species